rnacentral:hammerhead_ribozyme from 1 species
AUCAAGCUGACGAGUCCCAAAUAGGACGAAACGCGCAUCCUGGAU